AGGAAAUUGUAAUUGAUGUAAGCUUUGUCAGCAGAAAAGAACAUAAUGAGUACACAUGUGAAGAUAACAAAAAGGAUAAGGUACUCAAUUUACCAUAAAGAUUAUUGGCCACAUAGAGAGCGUUGCUGCAAUGGGGAGCUCUAUCAUGGAAGCAAAAAAGUUGGAGGUGUUUGAAGUUGGACCUUGCAAUGAUGCCUACCAGAUGGGUUUCUUGAUAGGGCAGAGGUUUUCUAAUGAGAUAAGAAGCAGGUUAUCUAGAGAUCUCAUUCUUCAAAAUCAGCUCCUUCCUUUUGCUCAAACGUUAGAGUCGCAACAAUUGAUUAAAUCUCUCAUAGACAACAAUAGAAAGAAAUUUCCUGGAUAUUGGGAUGAGCUAAUAGGGACAGCGGAAGGAAGUGGGGUCCCUGUUCUUGAUGUGAUCCUAAUCAACUUCAGGAAGGAGAUUCUUCCUUUUCUUCCAAAAACACAAACAAAUACUAAGGUUGAUGCUUCAGAUGAUUGCUCGGAUGUUCUCGUUGUUAGUGACACCAUGGCCAUUGCAGCCCAUAAUGAGGACGCAAAUGUUGCUCUAGUUGGUCAUACUUACCUAAUCAGGGCAACUUUGUCUGACGGAUCAUCCUUCGUUGGUUAUACAUAUGCUGGAGAACUUCCAAGCUGUGCAUUUGGGUUCAACACUCAUGGACUAGCGUUUACGCUGAACUCGGUGCCCCCAUCUGAGAGUGAGAUAAUGGCUGGUGGAAUUGGACGAAACUUUACCUCACGGGACCUCCUUGAAGCCACGAGCAUUGAUGAUGCAUUAAGUAGAAUACAAUCAUCAGAAAUUUCUGUAGGGCACAGUUAUAAUCUCAUCGAUACAAGGUGGCGUAAGAUUUUGAAUGUUGAAACUGCAUCGCGAAAUCGAGUUUCGGUUUGUGAGGUCGGAGGAUCACCUUUCUUCCAUGCAAACAUGUAUCUUCAUCUUCAAAUUGAGCAGAGAUUGAGCAAGAAGCAAAACCGGUAAUUAUGCAAAGCCUCAAACAAUAUCCCUUUUGAGGUGGAGAAUCUCAAUUGAUCAAUAUGAAGCAGAAGCGUGGUGGCUUUUUCACCAAAUGCAAGCUCAUAAAACAAUUUAACAAAGAUUUUUCAGCAAGUUAUUUUCAGCAAGUAAAAUCAUUAGUUUCAUGCUAAAGGUACAAGAUGACAACUCAACAAGCAGGCAAGAAAGAGCAACUGUACUACCAAAAGAAACAAAAGAUGAUUUCCUGUCACUUCUCGGUGAUAUGGAAGACAAUAGAUACCCAAUUUACAUGACAGGUCCAACCCUUUACACCCUAUGCACGGCUCUGAUAGAUCUGGAUGACCAAACGCUAACAAUUAUUGAGGGAAAUCCAAAGAAUGGGAAAGUUUCCUACGUCUUCUCCAUGUAAAGAAGGAAAGUUGAAGACAUCGCCGUAAGUGCUGCCGGCAGCCACUACACUGGUUUUCCCUGUGAAAAUAACUUGUAUAUGGAGCUCCUAUACAGGUUCAUAAAGGCCCAAUACAUGGCCAUCCAGACAUCGCAUGGCCGCAACCUGAUAAAAACAAUAUGUAUGAUGUCUGUAUGCCUAUUAUAAUUAGACACAAAGAUUUUUGUACAUGUCUAGACAUUAAGCUGAUUACCUUUCCAUGGAUUUCA